UCCCAACGAAGCCUUUCGAAAUAUUCAGCUUUCUUUCCCCCCGAUAAUACCUCUGCAAACAAGCUAUACUAGAGCAAGAAUAUCUCAUAUCAUCAGGGUUAAAAGCAAGAGUAUCCCAUAUCAUGCUUUUUCCCUGUCUUUUCCUUUGACCUUGUUUUUACCUGCAAGACAAGGAGAAAGAGAGCAAUCAGUCAGCACUUGAAAUCAAGCUCCCAGCCAGGAACUGACAGCCUGGAACCCCUUACCUGAUUACGUACCUGGCAUUGCUCUCGAGUACUCAUCU
rnacentral:lncRNA from 1 species